AGAGUUUGAUCAUGGCUCAGGAUUAACGCUGGCGGUAUGCCUAACACAUGCAAGUCGAACGGAAUACUCGAAAAGAGAAUCUCACACUAGUGAGAGGUUCUCCAACCGAGUUUUUAGUGGCGGACGGGUGAGUAACACGUUGGAACCUGCCCCGAAGUGGGGAAUAACUGCUCGAAAGAGUAGCUAAUACCCCAUAGUAUCCGACUCGAUCGGAUUAAAGAUUUAUCGCUUCGGGAGGGGCCUGCGUCUGAUUAGCUAGUUGGUGAGGUAAAAAGCUCACCAAGGCGACGAUCAGUAGCUGGUUCGAGAGGAUGACCAGCCACACUGGGACUGAGAUACGGCCCAGACUCCUACGGGAGGCAGCAGUGAGGAAUCUUCCACAAUGGACGAAAGUCUGAUGGAGCAAUACCGCGUGCAGGAAGACGCUUUUCGGAGUGUAAACUGCUUUUGUCGUCGAAGAUUAUGACUGUAGACGAAGAAUAAGGGACCGGCUAACUACGUG
rnacentral:rRNA from 1 species